GGAAGGAUCAUUAAUGAUUUUUUAAGCAAAACCAAGCGAAAGCGAGGUUUUUGCGAAUAUAUUUAAAACCCCCACUCUUAAAAAAAAAUAUUUCAUUCAUUAAAAUGAAUAAAAAAGAUCACUUUCAACAACGGAUCUCUUGGCUCUCGCAUCGAUGAAGAACGUAGCGAAGUGCGAUAAGUAAUGUGAAUUGCAGAAUUCCGUGAAUCAUCGAAUUUUUGAACGCAAAUUGCACUCUCCGGUUUUCCGGGAGAGUAUGCCUGUUUGAGGGUCAGCCAAUAAACGUCGAUUAAACAUGAUUUUGUUAUAUCGGAUUUGAGCUUUCUUUAUCUUUUUUAAAGUGGCUUAAAAGUUAUUUUUUUGGUAUCAUCGAAAAGCGUAAUUUUACGAUCAAUUUUGAUUAAAAAACGUUUUUUAAUACCAUUCUUUUAACAAUGUAAUACGUUUGACUAUAUGUGUAUAAUAUGGUUCAUUCGUAUACGAUUAAAUUUUUUUGACCUCAAAUCAGGUAAGAGUACCCGCUGAACUUAAGCAUAUCAAUAAGCGGAGGAAAAGAAAAUAACAAUGAUUCCCCUAGUAACGGCGAGUGAAGAGGGAUAAGCUCAAAUUUUAAAUCUGUUUGGUUCUUAAAUCACUCAGAAUUGUAAUUUGAAGAAAUCGUUUUCUGUGUCUUUGAUUAAUCAAAAUCCUCUGGGAUGGGGUAUCAUUGAGGGUGACAGUCCCGUUCGCGGUUAAUUUUAAGGCACUUUAUGAUACGUUUUCAAAGAGUCGAGUUGUUUGGGAUUGCAGCUCAAAAUGGGAGGUAAAUUUCUCCUAAGGCUAAAUACCGGCGAGAGACCGAUAGCGAACAAGUACCGUGAGGGAAAGAUGAAAAGAACUUUGAAAAGAGAGUUAAAUAGUACGUGAAAUUGUUGAAAGGGAA
rnacentral:misc_RNA from 1 species